rnacentral:rRNA from 1 species
UUAAAUUGAAGAGUUUGAUCAUGGCUCAGAUUGAACGCUGGCGGCAGGCCUAACACAUGCAAGUCGAACGGUAACAGGAAGAAGCUUGCUUCUUUGCUGACGAGUGGCGGACGGGUGAGUAAUGUCUGGGAAACUGCCUGAUGGAGGGGGAUAACUACUGGAAACGGUAGCUAAUACCGCAUAACGUCGCAAGACCAAAGAGGGGGACCUUCGGGCCUCUUGCCAUCGGAUGUGCCCAGAUGGGAUUAGCUAGUAGGUGGGGUAACGGCUCACCUAGGCGACGAUCCCUAGCUGGUCUGAGAGGAUGACCAGCCACACUGGAACUGAGACACGGUCCAGACUCCUACGGGAGGCAGCAGUGGGGAAUAUUGCACAAUGGGCGCAAGCCUGAUGCAGCCAUGCCGCGUGUAUGAAGAAGGCCUUCGGGUUGUAAAGUACUUUCAGCGGGGAGGAAGGGAGUAAAGUUAAUACCUUUGCUCAUUGACGUUACCCGCAGAAGAAGCACCGGCUAACUCCGUGCCAGCAGCCGCGGUAAUACGGAGGGUGC